GAAUUACUGGGCGUAAAGCGCACGCAGGCGGUUAGUUAAGUUAGAUGUGAAAGCCCCGGGCUUAACCUGGGAAUUGCAUUUAAGACUGGCUAACUAGAGUCUUGGAGAGGGGGGUGGAAUUUCCGGUGUAGCGGUGAAAUGCGUAGAGAUCGGAAGGAACAUCAGUGGCGAAGGCGACCCCCUGGCCAAAGACUGACGCUCAGG
rnacentral:rRNA from 1 species